ncrna:Microcoleus chthonoplastes PCC 7420 HNH endonuclease-associated RNA and ORF (HEARO) RNA
GUCAACGACCCGUCGCUAAAAGCGAAGGCUUCUAAAAGCUCAAGUUGACCAGCCUAAGUGCUACGCGCACUACGUUAACGGUAAGUGUUAAAGUUCCUACCUUGGGAUGCGUGCCAGUUCCAAGCUCUAGAACCAAGUGGUUAAACAGGUGUAAAGGGUUAAGCCAGUGCUGCUUGGAAAGUACCGACCGUUAACAUUGGCGAGGCAAACAUUAC